UUUCGUUCACCCUCAUUUGGAGGGCGCAGUUCGAGUCAUACCAUGGAACGGGGGAUGGC
ncrna:Prochlorococcus marinus str. AS9601 Glutamine-II riboswitch (downstream peptide RNA)